UAAUACGGAGGGUGCAAGCGUUGUUCGGAUUCAUUGGGCUUAAAGCGCGCGUAGGCGGGGUGGCGGGUGCCUUGUGAAAUCCCUCGGCUCAACCGAGGAACUGCUCGGCAAACCUCCACUCUUGAGGCAGGUAGAGGCGACUGGAACCUUUGGUGGAGCGGUGAAAUGCGUAGAGAUCAAAGGGAACACCGAUGGCGAAAGCGAGUCGCUGGGCCUGUCCUGACGCUGAGGUGCGAAAGCGUGGGUAGCAAACAGGAUUAGAUACCCUGGUAGUCCACGCCGUAAACGAUGCGCACUAGGUAUGGGAACCUCUGACGGUGACCGUGCCGAAGCAAAAGCGAUCAGUGCGCCGCCUGGGGAGUACGGCCGCAAGGCUA
rnacentral:rRNA from 1 species